rnacentral:rRNA from 1 species
GAUGAACGCUGGCGGUCUGCUUAACACAUGCAAGUCGAACGGGCUCUUCGGAGCUAGUGGCGGACGGGUGAGUAACACGUGAGAAUCUGGCUCCCGGUCGGGGACAACAGAGGGAAACUUCUGCUAAUCCCGGAUGAGCCGAAAGGUAAAAGAUUUAUCGCCGGGAGAUGAGCUCGCGCCUGAUUAGCUAGUUGGUGAGGUAAAGGCUCACCAAGGCGACGAUCAGUAGCUGGUCUGAGAGGAUGAUCAGCCACACUGGGACUGAGACACGGCUCAGACUCCUACGGGAGGCAGCAGUGGGGAAUUUUCCGCAAUGGGCGCAAGCCUGACGGAGCAAGACCGCGUGGGGGAGGAAGGCUCUUGGGUUGUAAACCCCUUUUCUCAAGGAAGAACACAAUGACGGUACUUGAGGAAUAAGCCUCGGCUAACUCCGUGCCAGCAGCCGCGGUAAUACGGAGGAGGCAAGCGUUAUCCGGAAUGAUUGGGCGUAAAGCGUCCGUAGGUGGCAGUUCAAGUCUGCUGUCAAAGACAGUAGCUCAACUACUGAAAGGCAGUGGAAACUGAACAGCUAGAGUACGGUAGGGGCAGAGGGAAUUCCCGGUGUAGCGGUGAAAUGCGUAGAUAUCGGGAAGAACACCGGUGGCGAAAGCGCUCUGCUGGGCCGUAACUGACACUGAGGGACGAAAGCUAGGGGAGCGAAUGGGAUUAGAUACCCCAGUAGUCCUAGCCGUAAACGAUGGAGACUAGGUGUAGCCUGUAUCGACCCGGGCUGUGCCGAAGCUAACGCGUUAAGUUUCCCGCCUGGGGAGUACGCACGCAAGUGUGAAACUCAAAGGAAUUGACGGGGGCCCGCACAAGCGGUGGAGUAUGUGGUUUAAUUCGAUGCAACGCGAAGAACCUUACCAGGGCUUGACAUGUCCGGAAUCUUGGUGAAAGCCGAGAGUGCCUUCGGGAGCCGGAACMCAGGUGGUGCAUGGCUGUCGUCAGCUCGUGUCGUGAGAUGUUGGGUUAAGUCCCGCAACGAGCGCAACCCUCGUCCUUAGUUGCCAUCAUUCAGUUGGGCACUUUAGGGAGACUGCCGGUGACAAACCGGAGGAAGGUGGGGAUGACGUCAAGUCAUCAUGCCCCUUACGUCCUGGGCUACACACGUACUACAAUGGGGGGGACAAAGGGUAGCCAAGACGCGAGUCUGAGCCAAUCCCGUAAACCUCUCCUCAGUUCAGAUUGCAGGCUGCAACUCGCCUGCAUGAAGGAGGAAUCGCUAGUAAUCGCAGGUCAGCAUACUGCGGUGAAUCCGUUCCCGGGCCUUGUACACACCGCCCGUCACACCAUGGAAGUUAGCCACGCCCGAAGUCGUUACUCUAACCGUUCGCGGAGGAGGAUGCCGGAGGCAGGGCUGAUGACUGGGGUGAAGUCGUAACAAGGUAGCCGUACCGGAAGGUGUGGCUGGAUCACCUCCUUUUUAGGGAGACCUACUUCGAGAUAUCGCGCCUUAACAACUAUAGCCGUGUCUUGAGGUCAUCCUUAGGUCGGAUGGGGCGGUCAGAGAGCUUUCAAACUUUAGGGUUCGUGUUAUGGGCUAUUAGCUCAGGUGGUUAGAGCGCACCCCUGAUAAGGGUGAGGUCCCUGGUUCAAGUCCAGGAUGGCCCACAUCCACCCCAAACUGGGGGUAUAGCUCAGUUGGUAGAGCGCUGCCUUUGCACGGCAGAAGUCAGCGGUUCGAGUCCGCUUACCUCCACUCUCCUUUGUGAUGGUGCUAGUUGGGGUGAGAUGAGAUGAGGUUACCUCUGAUAGAUAAUUUAUCACUGUACAGCUCCUAAAUCUUUAGAUAUUACUCUGAGAUUGGAUAGCUGGACAUCUGUUCCAGUCAGAACCUUGAAAACUGCAUAGAGAAAAGCAUAAUGGUGUAGGAAAACGUCGUAAAGACAAUUCCAAUGUAGGUCAAGCUACAAAGGGCUAACGGUGGAU